AGAAGGUAGAUAGAACCAGACCUUGCAGAUCUGUCCUGCUGCAGCCUUUCCUGUAGAUCUGUUGAUGGAGAUCUCACCCGCACCUCAAAUGACCUUAGAUCAACUCCAGAUCUGAGAUAAACUUGUACCAACCUCCUCUCAAGAGAUUUCAGGUCCUAGACCUGAUGUUUGGGUGGUUUCAAGAGAGGGAGAAGAGAGAGAGUCGGCGGCUGCAAGGGGGAAGGGGCUAACGCCUCCUUGCUUUUCCUACCUUUUUGGGACCUGGUGGCAAGAAAUCCUAGGGUUUCUUGCUCCUGGGGCAUGGAGG
rnacentral:lncRNA from 1 species